GUAACAGGGAGCUUGCUCCGCUGACGAGUGGCGAACGGGUGAGUAAUAUAUCGGAACGUACCCAAGAGUGGGGGAUAACGUAGCGAAAGUUACGCUAAUACCGCAUACGAUCCAAGGAUGAAAGCAGGGGACCGCAAGGCCUUGUGCUCCUGGAGCGGCCGAUAUCUGAUUAGCUAGUUGGUAGGGUAAAGGCCUACCAAGGCAUCGAUCAGUAGCUGGUCUGAGAGGACGACCAGCCACACUGGAACUGAGACACGGUCCAGACUCCUACGGGAGGCAGCAGUGGGGAAUUUUGGACAAUGGGCGCAAGCCUGAUCCAGCAAUGCCGCGUGAGUGAAGAAGGCCUUCGGGUUGUAAAGCUCUUUUGUCAGGGAAGAAACGGGUGCGGCUAAUAUCUGCAUCUAAUGACGGUACCUGAAGAAUAAGCACCGGCUAACUACGUGCCAGCAGCCGCGGUAAUACGUAGGGUGCAAGCGUUAAUCGGAAUUACUGGGCGUAAAGCGUGCGCAGGCGGUUUUGUAAGUCUGUUGUGAAAUCCCCGGGCUUAACCUGGGAAUGGCAAUGGAGACUGCAAGGCUAGAGUUUGGCAGAGGGGGGUAGAAUUCCACGUGUAGCAGUGAAAUGCGUAGAGAUGUGGAGGAACACCGAUGGCGAAGGCAGCCCCCUGGGUC
rnacentral:rRNA from 1 species